UACGAAGGGGGCUAGCGUUGCUCGGAAUUACUGGGCGUAAAGCGUGCGCAGGCGGUUCUGCACGCCAGCUGUGAAAUCCCCGGGCUCAACCUGGGAACUGCAUUUGUGACUGCAUGGCUAGAGUACGGUAGAGGGGGAUGGAAUUCCGCGUGUAGCAGUGAAAUGCGUAGAUAUGCGGAGGAACACCGAUGGCGAAGGCAAUCCCCUGGACCUGUACUGACGCUCAUGCACGAAAGCGUGGGGAGCAAACAGG
rnacentral:rRNA from 1 species